rnacentral:rRNA from 1 species
UGGGGAAUAUUGCACAAUGGGGGAAACCCUGAUGCAGCGACGCCGCGUGGAGGAAGAAGGUCUUCGGAUUGUAAACUCCUGUUGUUGAGGAAGAUAAUGACGGUACUCAACAAGGAAGUGACGGCUAACUACGUGCCAGCAGCCGCGGUAAAACGUAGGUCACAAGCGUUGUCCGGAAUUACUGGGUGUAAAGGGAGCGCAGGCGGGCGAUCAAGUUGGAAGUGAAAUCCAUGGGCUCAACCCAUGAACUGCUUUCAAAACUGGUCGUCUUGAGUAGUGCAGAGGUAGGCGGAAUUCCCGGUGUAGCGGUGGAAUGCGUAGAUAUCGGGAGGAACACCAGUGGCGAAGGCGGCCUACUGGGCACCAACUGACGCUGAGGCUCGAAAGUGUGGGUAGCAAACAGGAUUAGAUACCCUGGUAGUCCACACCGUAAACGAUGAUUACUAGGUGUUGGGAGAUUGACCCUCUCAGUGCCGCAGUUAACACAAUAAGUAAUCCACCUGGGGAGUACGACCGCAAGGUUGAAACUCAAAGGAGUUGACGGGGGCCCGCACAAGCAGUGGAGUAUGUGGUUUAAUUCGACGCAACGCGAAGAACCUUACCAAGUCUUGACAUCCCUUGACGAUGCUGGAAACAGUAUUUCUCUUCGGAGCAAGGAGACAGGUGGUGCAUGGUUGUCGUCAGCUCGUGUCGUGAGAUGUUGGGUUAAGUCCCGCAACGAGCGCAACCCUUAUGGUCAGUUACUACGCAAGAGGACUCUGGCCAGACUGCCGUUGACAAAACGGAGGAAGGUGGGGAUGACGUCAAAUCAUCAUGCCCUUUAUGACUUGGGCUACACACGUACUACAAUGGCGUUAAACAAAGAGAAGCAAGACCGCGAGGUGGAGCAAAACUCAGAAACAACGUCCCAGUUCGGACUGCAGGCUGCAACUCGCCUGCACGAAGUCGGAAUUGCUAGUAAUCGUGGAUCAGCAUGCCACGGCGAAUACGUUCCC